UUUUAGGAGAGGGUAUGAUUGUGCAAGAAAUCACAAGUUAAAUGUUAGCCUGUAAUUUGCUGAGGGGUGCAUGGAGAGAAAGAGAGAAGCUCCACUUUGGAGGCAGAUAAAAACCUUGAUUUAAAUCCCAUCUCGGCCCCUUGCCAGCUUGGAGACUUUGGGUGGAAUCCUUAACCCCUCCCUGCCCACAUGUUCUAUGUAUACUGGAACUAGCACAGCCGCCUCCAAGACUUAUGGGGGCCAUUACUUUAGAUGGUUUAGUUAAAGCCUCUGAAACAGAGUAGUUAAUGAUAAAUAUAACAACAAUAAAAAUAAACGCAAAAGGCAUAAAGAGCACUGUUCAGACACUAUUUUGGGCUUAAAAUUUUAAAAAGGAAGCAGGGCAGAUGGAUGAUGGAUGCCAGGUCUGGAUUUCAGGAGCUGAUAUGCAAGUGAACCAGGCGGCACGUGCCUUGUGCAGAAGCCAGCUGCCCUGGGUUCCCCAGCCUGGCCGUGCCACUUCCUGUCAUCAUGCAAGAGACUGAAUAAUUCUGUGAAGCAUCAGGUCUCUUCUCUCCUAAAUCAACUUCAACUUCAUCUCAUUCCUGGUUGAAAGAUCAGUAGACAUUUUUUCUCCCGCAUCCCUAAGACUCUGCUUCUGGAUCUGUUGUUCUGCCAAUGAAGAAAUGUCACCACUAUCCAUCCUGGGUAAGGACAUAAACAAGGAGUCCAGCUGAAUUCUGAUGGGAUCACAGAUAUUACCCAUUUAAAUAAAAUAUUACAAUUUUAUAAAAACUGCCAUGAAUUAAUUUUGAGACUGCAAGCUCCAACAGGACAGGAACUGGGGUCUUUUCAAGUAUCAGCUCUGUGCUGUGGCUCAGGAAGUGCUUCUUGAACACAGGGAUGGAAGAGAGUUGGGAAGGUAAAAUACCUCUGCCACAGCUUAUAAAGGAAAAUGUGAGAUGUGCGCUCUCCCGCCUGUGGAGGUGGACAAGAACACCUGAGAGUGAGACUUGGGCUGAGUAUCAGAAAAAACUUAGUUCGGAAAUCAGAAGAACAAGUUUGGAACCUAUUCUCAAAUUCUAGUUUUUGCUUUAAAAGAGUGGGACACUAAUAUCUGUGCUCCCUUUUCCAACUUUGUGAUCUAUACUGGUGAAUGCCAUCUUAAUCAAUCUGUUCUUACCAGAAAUAAGCGAAUAAGCUUUGGGAAGGGAAGAAACUUAGGAAGGGUACAAAUACCAGUUUAAUGGACCUUAGUUGACCUGUUUUACAAGAUGCCCAGACACUAGAAUCUUCCCACCUGCUCCCUUUCUCAGGGAAAUCUACCAACAGGAUCCACUGGAUAAAGGAAGAUGGGAAACUGAGGCCACCAUGCCUGGCAGUAGGCCAGAAGUGACAGCCACUUUUCUUUGCAACCAAUCUCCAAAUCCCGCUUGUUUUCCAAUGGAGUAUGCAUGAUCAGCACACGGUGAGAUGCAAUUAAAGUGUGUGUCGUGGAGCAUGAGUAUCUUCACAUUCUAAUUACAGGUUAAUAGAAUGGACCCAGAGAGAUUGCUUAAUUAAUCUUGGAAGGAGAUGUGUAUGUUUAACGAUCCUUCAAUAAAGGAGCUCUACUCCCUCCAAGAGGAUUAGAUGCAAAGGAUGUUAAAUUCAGGCAGGAGAUUCAUGUCUGGACAAAUAUACACCAUCAAUGUUCAGCUCACCAACAAUUAGAGUUCUCCAAAUGUGUGCCCAAUUCCAAUUCCUAAGAGUUUGAAUGGUAAGUCUGCAUGUCUCCUACCCCAAAUACACUCUCUUUUUACAUUUGUUUCCUCAUUCAUUCGUCAUAUAAUUAAUGAGUGCAAUCAACUUACAACAAUGAUCCAUAACCAAUUAUGUGCUGCAUCAGAAUCUCCUGAAUCUUUGCCGAGAGUCAACUGGAUUAUUAUGACUACCUCCCAAAGGAUGUCUCUUGCUCACAUUCCUGUCAGUUUUAAUUUUAAUGCCACAACAUAGGAAAAAUGACUUUCCAACAUUUAAGUGUGAUCUCAAUAUUAUCUUGAUUUAACAUGAGAGCUCUUUAUUACAUAGAAAAUAAACUCAGUGGUCAGCA